rnacentral:rRNA from 1 species
AUUGAACGCUGGCGGCAGGCUUAACACAUGCAAGUCGAACGCGUGGCGGACGGGUGAGUAAUGUCUGGGAAACUGCCUGCUUGAGGGGGAUAACUACUGGAAACGGUAGCUAAUACCGCAUACCCUCAGAUGUGCCCAGAUGGGAUUAGCUAGUUGGUGGGGUAACGGCUCACCAAAGCGACGAUCCCUAGCUGGUCUGGGAGGAUGACCAGAAAAACUGGAAGUGGGACAAGGUCCAGACUCCUACGGGAGGAAGCAGAGGGGAAUAGUGCACAAUGGGCGCAAGACGGAUGCAGCCAUGCCGCGUGGAUGAAGAAGGCCUGAGGGUUGGAAAGCACUUUAAGCGUGGAGGCGUUACCCGAAGAAGAAGCACAGGCGAACUCCGUGCCAGCAGCCGCGGUAAUAC